rnacentral:rRNA from 1 species
AGAAUGAACGCUGGCGGCGUGGUUAAGACAUGCAAGUCGAACGGGACUCAUUGAAGCGCAAGUGGAUAUGAGUUCAGUGGCGAACGGGUGCGUAACACGUGAACAAUCUACCUCCGAGUGGGGAAUAGCUCGCCGAAAGGCGAAUUAAUACCCCAUGCGGUUGAGGUCCUCCUGGAUCUCAUACCAAAGUCAGGGACCGCAAGGCCUGACGCUGGGAGAGGAGUUCGCGGCCUAUCAGCUAGUUGGCGAGGUAACGGCUCACCAAGGCUAAGACGGGUAGC